GAUGAACGCUGGCGGCGUGCCUAAUACAUGCAAGUCGAGCGAACAGACGAGGAGCUUGCUCCUCUGACGUUAGCGGCGGACGGGUGAGUAACACGUGGAUAACCUACCUAUAAGACUGGGAUAACUUCGGGAAACCGGAGCUAAUACCGGAUAAUAUCUUGAUCCGCAUGGUUCAAUAGUGAAAGACGGUUUUGCUGUCACUUAUAGAUGGAUCCGCGCCGCAUUAGCUAGUUGGUAAGGUAACGGCUUACCAAGGCAACGAUGCGUAGCCGACCUGAGAGGGUGAUCGGCCACACUGGAACUGAGACACGGUCAAGACUCCUACGGGAGGCAGCAGUAGGGAAUCUUCCGCAAUGGGCGAAAGCCUGACGGAGCAACGCCGCGUGAGUGAUGAAGGUCUUCGGAUCGUAAAACUCUGUUAUUAGGGAAGAACAAAUGUGUAAGUAACUAUGCACGUCUUGACGGUACCUAAUCAGAAAGCCACGGCUAACUACGUG
rnacentral:rRNA from 1 species